rnacentral:lncRNA from 1 species
UCCGCCUGCCUCUGCAUGCGCCACCACUGCCCGGCUCAGAAGGCUUUUCUAACUUGGAAUCCUUUCUAAAACAAGUACUCUUUACUAUGAGAUGCCGCCCUAAAUGUGACUAAUUCACUGUGUCUCCAAGUUCUUCCGUGGAUCCAUACAUAACAGUUGGGAUAGCUUUAAGAGUUUCUUCACGAUUACUAGUUUCACCAUAUUUAAAUUCCAAUUAAGUAUUCACACUCUCUCCCAAAUCCUACAGUUUCUUGGGCCUUCAAGUCCCUAAACUCAACAACAGAGCUUUAACCCGUCUGUUAGUUGAUGUAGUCCUUCAAAACUGGAAGGAAGGUGUCUUCCUUAGGGUUUUACUGCUGUGAAUAAACACCAUGACCAAGACAACUCUUAUAAGGAAAACAUUUAACUGGGGCUGGGCUACAGGUUCAGAGGUUCAGUCCACUAUCAUCAAGGUGGGAGCAUCCAGGCACACAUGGUGUAGGAGGAGAUGAGAGUUCUACCUCUUCAUCUGAAGGCCACUAAAAGACUGGAUUCCAGGCAGCUAAGAUGAGGGUCUUAAAGCCCACACCCACAGUGACACACUUCCAACAAGGCGACACCUUCAAGUAGUGUCACUCCCUGGGCCAAGUGUAUUCAAACCACCACAGAUGGGCUAGAGAAAUGGCUCAGUGGUUAAGAGCACUGGCUUCUUCCACACUAGUUUGAUUCCCAGAACACAGUUGACUAUUCAGAGCCAUCUGUGACUCCAACCUCCAGAGAUCUGACAUGGUCUCCUGCCAUCUGUAGGCACCAGGCCCAUUGGUAGUCCACAGGCAUAUGUGCAGAUAAAACACCCAUACACAUACAACCAAAACAAAUAAACAAGAAAGCAAAGGCCUUAGACGUUCUCACUUCUCAGGUGGGUGAUACUUGCAGUCUUAUUAAUGAGACCUAUUACUUCUGAGUAAAUAAUAUGGACUUGGGGGUAGGGAGAAGGCAAACAACUAUCAAAAACCAAAUAUACAGUGAAUGAGUUUGUUUAAUGGCUCAAGAUUCUUGGCAAGGUCAGAUCCUAGAAGAAAGGAUGCUCUGGGUCUGGUCCUUCCUAUCAUACAUGAUAUUGAUUUUGAUAUGUGUUUGUUUGAUCUUAUGAUGUGCUAUGGUCUCUAUUGGAAUACAUAUUACAUCCAUACAACCUGAGAUGAGUCUAACUUCUACCAUGGGCCAUUAGACAAGUCUCUUAAUAGGGGCCUCAACUGAUGUCAGUAUUCAACAUCCCUCCUCAGCCUGAAGCAGUUCCAUUGAUCUUUGCUCUACCUCCUCCCAAAGUCAUUUAGGGUCACCUGUUAUAACGAUGGAUAGAGACAGGACACAGAGGGUAAGUUGGGUAGUUAGGGCUAGGGGAAGCCUCUGAUGCCAUCAUAGAUGCUCUGUGGAUCAAAGCCCCUCUCUGUUUGCAGGUGUUUCAUGAAUCAAACACUUGAUGACAGUUCAACAACCAUAGUAUUUCACGGCAGUGCUCUAGUGCCAAGAAAGAAAUGUGUCGUCUUGUGCACAAGCAGAAGGUAGGGGUCAUUUAGUACACUUUUCUUUGCUCUGUAAACAUUCAAAAGCACAUAACCCUUGUCACCUGGGCAGUGUCCCCUCUUGAAAUCUCUCCGAAUUCUCUCUGCCGCUGCCUCUCUUUCUCAUUAUAGUUAUUGUUGUAUGAGUCUUAGAGACAGUCUCUCUCUCUCUCUCUCUCUCCCUCUCUCUCUCUCUCUCUCUCUCUCUCUCUCUCUCUCUCUCUCUCUCUCUCUCUCUCUCUCUCUCUCUGUGUGUGUGUGUGUGUGUGUGUGUGUAGUCCUGGCUGUCCUGGAACUUGCUGUAUGUAGACCAUUCUGGCCUAGAUGUCAUUCACUCUUUGUCCCAAGUGCUAGUUAUUAUGCCCUGCUUUUCUUUCUGAUUAAUGGUGUUCAGCUCUGGAGUACCCAGGCUUCAUUUCUUGUCCUUUGUAGGACCCAAUCCUUAAGUCACAGCAGCUUACAUCUGAAACCACUGUAGCUCGUUAUUCCAAGUGGAUUCAACUGGAUUUAGCCCUUUUUCCUGUCCCCAAGACAAGGUCAUCUUUAGCUACUUAUAUAAAAUUUAAGGCCAGAGUAAUCUAAGUCCCUGUCUCAAUAAGUCAGUCAGUCAACCAUCAAUCAAUAAGUGAAUGGUUAGCUUCUCCAGAUUGGUUAGUGUCUUCAGAUAAGCAACUAUGCUCUGCCAUCAGUGUCUGGCCUAUAUUUAAUAUAGGAAUUCAAAGAGUGUUGAGGAAAUGGGUGUCCCAGAACACUUGGCAGUGAGGGAUGGUACUGGAAGGAGGUUUAGUUUUAGCCACAAACUCAAACUCUUUCCGACCUGCUCUCUUCCAUCCAGGUCAAAAAAUGACCGACCACCUGCUAGUGGUGGCCAGAAGAUGAUGGGGAUUUUGCAGAGUUGGCUUUAGCAGAUGAAGAGGCCUUGCUUUCUGAACACCAGGACAAUAUUUGGAGGAAAGCAUCGCCAAUUACUCCCUGAGCUUAGCGGUACAGAACCAGAACCGAGCUCCGUGGGAUACAGACACAAGGUGAUUUAGGAUUCCUGGACUGGUCCCCAGCUUUGGUCCGGGGCGGUCCCAUGAGCCUCCAGACGGACAAGCGCGCAGCGCCCUCUAGUGUCUGGCGACUGCUCUGCCAUCCCG